GCGGGUGUAGUUCAAUGGUAGAACUUCAGCCUUCCAAGCUGACUACGUGGGUUCGAUUCCCAUCGCCCGCUCCA
rnacentral:tRNA from 1 species